AUGAGGGCCCCUGUGCAGCUCCUCAGCUUCCUGCUGCUCUGGCUCCCGGGUGCCAGGUGUGAUAUCCAGUUGACUCAGCGUCCAUCUGUGUCUGAAUCUCUGGGAGAGAAAGUCACCAUCACCUGCAAGGCCAGUCAGAGCGUUAACAAAAAUUAUUUACACUGGUAUCAGCAGAAACCGGGGAAAGCUCCCAGGCUCCUGAUCUAUAGGGCAACCAAUUUAGGACUUGAUAUCCCUUCCCGGUUCAGUGGCAGUGGAUCUGGGACAGAUUACACUCUCACCAUCAGCAGCCUGGAGCCUGAAGAUGCUGCCACUUACUAUUGUCAGCAGUAUGAUAGUUCCCCUCCCACAGUGAUACACGCCAGAACAAAAACCCCCAGAGAUCAGCUGUGUGAGGCUGGGCUGCCCCAGCAGCUCCUCCUGGUGCCUCCUCUGCUGAGGGUGUGUCAGAUGCAGCCAGGCUGUGAUGUGAGAGAAAGCUCUGGUACAAGUAGAAGGAACAUUUUUGUCUCCGUUAUUCCCCCCUCUCAUGCCAGCAGCACUAGCAUGACAAUUGAUCUGCUGAUUUUAUUUAUUGAAAUUAUUUUCCCUCAAAAAUUUUGGCAACAUUUCAGAGUUAUGCAGGAACAAUCACUUUAG